rnacentral:rRNA from 1 species
UACGUAGGGUGCGAGCGUUAAUCGGAAUUACUGGGCGUAAAGCGUGCGUAGGCGGUUCGUUAAGUUCGUUGUGAAAGCCCCGGGCUCAACCUGGGAACUGCAAUGGAAACUGGCGGGCUUGAGUGUGGCAGAGGGGGGUGGAAUUCCACGUGUAGCAGUGAAAUGCGUAGAGAUGCGGAGGAACACCGAUGGCGAAGGCAGCCCCCUGGGCCAACACUGACGCUCAGGCACGAAAGCGUGGGGAGCAAACAGG